rnacentral:rRNA from 1 species
UACGGAGGGUGCGAGCGUUGUCCGGAUUCAUUGGGCGUAAAGGGCGAGUAGGUGGCCAUCUAAGUCAGACGUGAAAUCCCCCGGCUUAACCUGGGAACUGCGUCUGAUACUGGACGGCUUGAGUAUGGGAGAGGGAUGUAGAAUUCCAGGUGUAGCGGUGAAAUCGCGUAGAUAUCUGGAGGAAUACCGGUGGCGAAGGCGGCAUCCUGGACCAUUACUGACACUGAUCCGCGAAAGCUAGGGAGCA